UACAGAGGGUGCAAGCGUUGUUCGGAAUUACUGGGCGUAAAGCGCGUGUAGGCGGGAUGGCAAGUCGGUCGUGAAAUCCCUCGGCUCAACUGAGGAUCGUCGAUCGAUACUGCCGUUCUUGAGGAUUGCAGAGGAGACUGGAAUUCCCGGUGUAGCGGUGAAAUGUGUAGAGAUCGGGAGGAACACCGGUGGCGAAGGCGGCCAUCUGGACGGUAACUGACGCUGAGACGCGAAAGCGUGGGGAGCAAACAGGG
rnacentral:rRNA from 1 species